GACGAACGCUGGCGGCGUGCUUAACACAUGCAAGUCGAACGGUAAGGCCCCUUCGGGGGUACACGAGUGGCGAACGGGUGCGUAACACGUGAGCAACCUGCCCUUGACUCUGGAAUAACAGUUGGAAACAGCUGCUAAUACUGGAUAUUCAUCGUCUCCUUCCUGGGGGGUGGUGGAAAGCUCCGGCGGUCAGGGAUGGGCUCGCGGCCUAUCAGCUUGUUGGUGAGGUAAUGGCUCACCAAGGCUUCGACGGGUAGCCGGCCUGAGAGGGCGACCGGCCACACUGGGACUGAGAUACGGCCCAGACUCCUACGGGAGGCAGCAGUGGGGAAUAUUGCACAAUGGGCGCAAGCCUGAUGCAGCAACGCCGCGUGCGGGAUGACGGCCUUCGGGUUGUAAACCGCUUUCAGUAGGGACGAAGGGUGACUGACGGUACCUACAGAAGAAGGACCGGCUAACUACGUG
rnacentral:rRNA from 1 species